UUGUUGGGUGUGAGACAACGCGAGAUGUCGGGCGGACUAGGAGGCCCUCAGUGCCCGGGAGUAUGGUUGUUUCGGUGUGUGUGUGAUUCUGCCGGCUGUUAUACGUGAGGUGAUUUCGUACUUGAAGCUGAUGGUAAUGGCAUUUUAAAACUGUGGGAUUGACAGAUGUCUGUAGGACCUAGACUAGCCAAAGAGCAUGUGUAUGACUCUAAAAACGAUGAACGGUCAGAUUAUCUCAUACUUGAACACUAAUUUGAUGAUCUGGAAAAGAAAAACAUAUGGCUAAUGUAUUUAUAUUUCAAUUUUUUAAUUCAAAAGAAAAUGGAGACUUUGAAGAUUUUGGAAGAAGAAAAUGAGCCAAGUACUCCAAACUCAGUGAAAGCAGAGAGAAUCCAGACCAACUUGACCCUUAGGAGGACUGCAGAGAGAAAGGAAUACUCAAGCAACAAUUUUUCGUAGGCCUAAGGCUGGGAAUUCCAAGAUCAUGGUACAGGCAGAUUUAGUUCCUGGUGAGAGCCCCUUCCAGGUUUACAGAUGGUGGCUGUUCCUCACAUGGCAGAGAGAGGGCAUAUAUUUUUAGGUUCUUUAAUGGAAAGUUCUGUUCUCCUUACCUCUUUUGUGUUUUGCCAUAACAUUUUUGAAGCAUUAAAGAGUCUAGAACAUUUGCCUUGUAGAGUGUCUAACAUUCUGGAUUUGUUUGUUUUGUCAUAAUUAGGUUUAAGUUGAAAUGUGUUUGGCAAGAAUACUAUGGAUGGUGGUGUACUCUUCCUAUUUUAUCAUAUAAAGAAGCACAUAAUUUAAGUUUGAUCCACUGUUGGUGAUACUAAAUUUGAUCGCCUCAGUUCAAGUCAUGUGUGCACCUGAAUUCUGCAUGGUAAAAGUUACCUUUUUUCUUUGUAUGCCAAGAAGUACUCUGAUGGGGAUAUUUUGAGACCAUCUCACAUAAAACUUUUUACCUAAUGGUUUUAGCAUCCAUUGAUGAUCCUUUGCCUACUAAAUCGGGUUGCAGUAGUGAUUUUAUUUCAUCAAUCCUUUUCCCCCCUUUCCCUCUCUACCUCUGUUCUUUCUCUCUUAUCAUUAUGACUCAUGGAUUUUUUUUUUCCAUUUAAAAUAAUUUACUACAAGGAACUAAGUAUUUUAGCCCAUUAUCACCAUUUUUUGUGUUUCUCAGAUUAUUCCAAAUCUGGCCUCACAGACUGACUCCUGUAUCCCCGUUUUGUUUUUGAGCACUUCUUUACUUUUUGAGACAGAUAUUCCAGACUUAACAUUGUACAUUUCCUGUCCCAGACCUGGAAUUAGCCACACUUUCUGAGGAAAACUUUUGAGGUGAUCUUUUCAAAUAUAUAUCCUUAACAUGAAAUAUUAAGUAAUUUGUGGUACACAUGCAAUGAAAUGGUUUAUAUCCAAUAAAUUUGGGUUUAUAAAGAUUUAAAAUUUUAAACUAACAAAAAUGAAUCUUAAAAGUUUAUAUUGGUGACAUCUAUAUUAAUUAUUAAUGUUCUGUAUCAUAAAUGUGAAUGCUGAAUAGAUAGUAUUCCAUUGUUUAGAUUUACCAUAAUUUAUUUAAAUCAUUCUUCUCUGAUGAAUAUUAUGUUGCCAUUUUUUUCAGUAUAAUAAGUAAUACCCCAUGAACAUUUUUAUGCUUUCUUUUAUGGAUAGCUGUCAGGUUGUUAAUUCUGAGAUAUCAAUAAAAAAUGAAAGGUUAAAAAUGAG